GGAGAGGACUGGUUUUUGUGUGGAUUGUGUAAUUCAUUCAUUCAUUCAUUUUUGGCCACCCCAUGGCACAUGGAGUUCCCGGGCUGGGAAUCAGAUCCGAGCUGAAGUUGUGACCUAAGCCAUGGCUGUGGCAAUGCUGGAUCCUUAACCCGCUGUGCUGGGCUGGGAAUCGAACCUGCAUUCCAGUGCUCCUAAGAUGCCCCCAAUCCGGUUGCUCCCCCAAGGGAACACCUGUGUGUUUUUUUUUGUUUGUUUGUUUGUUUUUUAUUUUUUUUUAACUGUUGAAUUGAAGAGUGAUAUACUUGCAAAAUAAAAAUGUGCUCCUAUCAGGCAUAGACACCUUGGCAGUGAGCAUGCCCACAUUAUCAUCCCUCAAGCUAUAAGCUUAUGCUUUUUGCUGAUUUUAUGGGGAACAAACAGGUCUCACUGUAACUUGACUUUGUUUCCCAAUUUCUAGUGAGGUUGAGCAUCCAAUUUCCAUUCAUAUUUACUCUUUUGUAAAUUGAUACCAACAGCUAACACUUCUCGAAGGUUUCCCAUGAGCCAGAUAUUCUUCUAGGUGCUUUGCUCGCAUCAACUCACAUAAUCCUCACAGUGGUCCUUUAUGAUAUGCUGUUAUUAUCUGCACUUUGCUGGGGAGGAAACUGAGGCAGUUACAUGGCUAGUUACUUCCCAUAGUUACAUAAUUAGUCAGUGGUGAAGCCAGAAUUUGAAUCUGGACAGUCUGGUUCAGUGUUUGGGUUCAUAAUCUCUGUGCUAUCCCUAUAUAUAUAUAUAUGAUUCAUGUUUUAGGGAUCUGUUACUGUAUAACUCAUGACUCCUAGACUUAGCUGGAAAUGGCAACCAUGUAUUAGCUCAUAAUUUCUGAGUAUCAGAGAUCGGGGAGGGGCUUAGCUAUGUUGCUCUGUGUGUCAGGAUGUCUCAUGAAGUCAAGUUGUCAGCUGUGGCUGUGGUCAUCUGAAGAUUUGACUGGGGCUGGAGAAUCUGCUUCCAUGGUGGGUCACGACAUGGCUACUGCAUCCUCAGUUCCUUGCUGCAUGGACCAUUCCAUAGAAAUCAGGAGGAAUGUUCCUGGAGUUUAGUGACAGCCCUGAAUGUUAUUGGCAGAUGCAAAGUUGAUUGUUAAACUGCUGUAUGGUAACGUGUCCAUAGACGCAUAGGACAAUUCCAGUCUCUUUGGUAACCUAUGUUUUUAUUUGCUAAAUCUAGUGACCCUGGAUGUGAGGGAAGGGGCCUGGAGGCAGGAAGGAAAACGGUGUCUGUGGGAAGAUCACAGGGGUCAGAGGCCUUAGCAUAAUGUGGGUGUGAGGAAAACAGACGUGCAUUUGCAUUUCCUGUGUGGGUACAGUGUGAGAAAAGCAUGAAGUAAAGCUUCAAAAUAGGUAGAGUCCAGUUUUUUGCUUUUUCUUUUCUUUGUAGG
rnacentral:lncRNA from 1 species